UGGACGGCACGCGGAAUAAUUGUGACAGGUCGUGUUGUGGUUUUUAGGUUUUAUGACUUUGGUUUGCUUCUUUCAUGAAUUAUUCAGUAUAUUCACUAAGGUCGAUAAAGAAGAUCAAGUGAACCUGCUUUAAAAAUUCAAAAAGACCUGCGGCGCUCAAAUCGUCCGUUCGCCGUUAAAAUACUAGGAAAUUGUUGACAACACAAAAAAGCGAAAUCGCCGGCCCACGUUGUCCUUCACGUGUGUCAAACGGCGGCUUUUGAGACACAUUACGUUCCGAGGAAGCGUGCGAGAAGCAUCGUUUGAAGACAACCACGAGCAUCAUUGUGUGAAAAAAGUUUACAAAAAUGGUUAAAAAAGCAGAGAUGAACGUGGAAAUUAAUAGCAAAUCUGAGAACGUUUACAAAAAUUCGUAUCAAGUAAACGAUUUAUCUUCGCUUAUCAGCAACUUGAAAUCUUUACAAAAAGAUGUCAACGACGUUUUGACGAAAAUUGUCAACGAAACUGGCUCAAACAAUCAAGUUUCGAACGAGAUGGAAGACGAUGAAGACGACGAAGAUGACGAUGAAUCGGAUGGCGGCGACAGCGACGAUGGCAAUCCAAAGCCAAAAAUUAGCAAAUUAGAGCACAAGUUAACGCACGACUCCAUUAGUUAAGUCACUCCUGCACAAGGCAACGGAGCUUGGAUUUUCAUAUACACUAUAAAUUCAUGCUAAAAUGUCGACGUCGCUGUCGAAUCAGGCCCAGAUUCGCUACGUUAUCGAAUGGUUUCAAGAGUGGUCCGAAAUGCAGAGGGAUGAC
rnacentral:misc_RNA from 1 species